rnacentral:rRNA from 1 species
UAGCCUUGACAUACUACAGAAUUUGACAGAGAUGUUGAAGUGCCUUCGGGAGCUGUAAUACAGGUGCUGCACGGCUGUCGUCAGCUCGUGUCGUGAGAUGUUGGGUUAAGUCCCGCAACGAGCGCAACCCUCGUCCUUAGUUACUAACGGUUCGGCCGAGGACUCUAAGGAGACUGCCUUCGUAAGGAGGAGGAAGGUGAGGACGACGUCAAGUCAUCAUGGCCCUUACGGCUAGGGCAACACACGUGCUACAAUGGUUAGGACAAUGAGAAGCGAUACCGCGAGGUGGAGCAAAUCUAUAAACCUAAUCUCAGUUCGGAUAGCAGUCUGCAACUCGACUGCUUGAAGCUGGAAUCACUAGUAAUCGUAAAUCAGCUAUGUUAUGGUGAAUACGUUCCCGGGUCU